UACGUAGGGGGCGAGCGUUGUCCGGAGUUACUGGGCGUAAAGCGCACGCAGGCGGUCUGUUAAGUUUGGCUUGACAGUUGGUGGCUUAACUGCCAAAGUGCUUCGAAAACUGACAGACUUGAGGGCUUCAGAGGGACACGGAAUUCCGGGUGGAGUGGUGAAAUGCGUAGAGAUCCGGAGGAACACCAAAGGCGAAGGCAGUGUCCUGGGGAGUACCUGACGCUCAGGUGCGAAAGCCAGGGGAGCGAACGGG
rnacentral:rRNA from 1 species